UGUCUGUCUCCCAAUUGGGCUAUAUUGCAACUAAGAGUAGACUUUUAACCUUAAUAACCCUGAUCAAAUCCAGAUGGGUCCAAAUCAAAUUAUAACAUGACCAAGGUGCAGUCCCAUUGUCUCAAUGGUAUCUUCUUGGCUUGGCUUGGGUCCUUAUAUGCAUAUCAAAUUAUCGCACAUGGUACGAUGUUUACUGAAUUUACAUUAUCAAGACUUGACGGAGUUAACUGCAUAUUUCGAAGAAUUAAAGAGCAAACAAAAGCUUUUAUUUCUGAUUAUCCAGAGUUAUUGUGAUUAGGAAGGUACGUACAAAUCAACCAUACAUAUCUUUGCAGCUGCGUGGACAUCUCUUCUACAGGUCCCAAGUACCUUGACAUAUAUGGUGUGUGAUAUAAAAUCUUAGCACUAGGCGACUUUCUCCUUUUAUUUGUUGGCUUAAUGUGCGACAAUCUUUUCCAAUUAUUCAAAGUGGAGACUUGGAACAAAGUCUACCUUAAAUCUUCUAACAAGUGCAUGUUCAUUUCCAAGCAAUUUCCCAACUAAUGCCGAGUACCUCGACUAUACUUGGUUUCAGCCUUUCAGGCCUUCAUUUCAUACUUCACCACAUAAAAAAUUUAUAUUUUCAUAUCAUCUCUCUCAUGAAUAGUGAAUAGGUCUCACCUCCAUUUGAGAGAGACUCAUGCACCGUGGAACCCUUAACCUCGUGAAAGCCUCAUCAUGAAAACCAUGAGGUUAGUCAUACCGCUGGGUCAAAUACCAUGCCGUAAAUUUUUUGGCUUUUUCUUAUCCAUUUUUGGUCUAAUAUAGUACAUAAUAGAGCUUCAAUCUUCAAUCAAUUGAUAUAAAGUCCUCCUUGAUAUUCAUCAAAUGUUAAGUCUUCAUAGUGAUCUUCUAUACUAUUGAGGGAAAAUUCCUAAUCUUCUAAUCAAAUCAACCCUCUUGCUUUUGUUUCUGCAACUUGGCCUCUAAUUCAUGGAUCUGGAAGAAAAUUGAAACCCGUUGCUUGAGGAGCUCAUAGCUUCUUUCCAUGGUGUUGCUAAACAGUUUGAUUUCUCAUCGUCAAUCUCUGUUCCUUCUGGAGAAUUGCUGGUUGAGGGUGAUGUGACAGGUACAGAUGGGUUUCUGGAACCUGAUCGAGUACAUGAUAUAAAGCUAUGUUUCUCAGAAGAGUGUUCGAAAGAGAGAGAAGACAUGCCAGAUAAUAGAGGUGGCAAGAGAACUCCGGCGCAAAUUGAGAGAUCAUCUCGCCCUCAUUAGCUCCGGUAAUACUAUGUUUUUAUGGUGUCAAAGCCACACCAAGAUACAAUAUCAUCCUGUUCAUUACUGUGUUUAUACUUGAUAAAUAUAAGCUAUGACUGCCACAACUCAGAAGGUUUAAGAGGAUAGGCACACAACAUGAGCAAAAGAAUAAUUUGAUGACAAUUCCAUUACAUAAAUGUUUCUUAAUCUCUGGUAGUCGUUAACAUAAUAGCAAACUGUAAAAUCAUAAGUGGUGCAACUCGGAGCAUGUAUUCUUUUAUAUACAAGCUCAGAUGUAGAAUUGUUUGGUUUUUAGUACACUUUUUUUUUUAUGACGGUUCACAUAGGUUCAACUUACAACUAUUAAACUCUAUAUAUGCCCUAAUUGAGAAUAUAAGAGAAAACUUCCAUAACCAUCCAGUAUGUAAUAGACUGGACACCAACAGAUACUGUUAUGAGUCCUCAAAAUGGUGAUCUGUCUCGUCGAAGAUUUCCUCCUGCAUGGUGAAGAAAUUGAUGUUCAUAAAAUAGAGAUCAGCCAUAAUAUUGUGAUAUUACGAAAAAUAUGGAACUUCUUAAAACAUAAACUUCUUCUACUAUACCUGUAGAAGCUCUUCAAUGACAUCUUCCAUUGUUAUUAUGCCAACAGCUUCUUCUUCUUCAGGGAGUUUUGGAAGUGGGUUUCCAUCUAUUUGCAAGAUGUCUGAGUACAUGUCCUUUGCCCACUUCUUGCUCCUUGAGCUACCCUUAAAGGAGUUGUUUGCGCUAUUUGGAAAACUCUUCCACUUCUGGAGCGAUCUUUUGGUUUUCAAACUCUUUUCUAGAGGCGGCUUGUCCCCAUCAACGUCUAUCUUCACAUCCUUCACUGGGUUUAUAUGGGAGCAAGAAAAAGGUGUGUGAGAAUUUAAAGAAAAUACAAGUAGAUCUUUUCCAAAAAUAAGAAUGCAUGACCAGCUUACUUUUCGUAGGGCUUUCACUGGCACCCUGCUCCCCCGCCUUUACACAGUGUCUUACAACAACAGCCAUGUGGCUGUGACCUUUCUGAAACUCAUUCAAAAUAUCAUAUAAUGGCAAGGUUUCCGGAACCCUAAAAAAUAAAAUAUUGAGAACAUCAGUUUGUAAAUAAGUGCAUCAACCACCUACCCAGGUUGUACAUCACAAAUAACAAGUGCUAACAAACAUGGCAUUGUCACCUACCGACCUCCUGGUCAGUGGUCAGUAACCCACAUUCAACAAAUGGCAUCUAAUUUUCAACUUAAGAAUCCUUCAACAGAGUUGAAGAAAGCAUACAUACACGUCAAAGCUAGUUACAACCACAUUGCAAUAGUCCGUGUCCAACUACGAAUUAUAAUUUUUUUAAAAUACCAAAAUCCAGCUCUAAAAGUAAAAAUAUGAAAAGGAUACAAAGAAAAUAUAAGUAAAAGAAAAAAUGAAAACAAAUAAACGUACACUGAUACAAAUGAAAAUAAUUCUACAACAGUGGGCCAAGGCACCGAGAUGUCGAUUCUCUAUUCUUCCAUCUCCUGUCUAAAUUUGUGCGAAUGCCUCUCACAAUAUGGGUAGGGUGCAAAGAAAGCAGUUGCAAAAACAAAUGACGUAUGCUAAUGAUACACAAUUGAUGUUUAUUAUAACUAAUGUACAAAGAAGGGGAGACAACUAAACAUCAGCGCUGGACCAAAAAAAAAAGAGAAAACAUAUCAUGGUGAAUGGUGAGGAUAUAAAUAAUGAUGGCCUUCGUGGACAAGAAGAAAAUUAAAUCAAGGUGUAAAAGUUCUAUACGUUGUCAUGCCUUACAGAUUAGUUUGGAUGCUCCAAUAAUUUUUUAUAACCUCAAUUCCAGAUAAGAAUAAAAGUUUCCAUAUUACGCUUAGUUGCGGACAAAAUAAGUUUCCAUAUUCAGCUUAGGUGUGGACAAAUGGAAAAACCAAGAAUCUUAAUAAACAUGAUUUCAAAAUCAAUCUUGUAGCAAAUGUAAAGUGAAGCAGCAUCGGCGAUGAAACCUAAAUAGAAUUGCUGACCAAGCUGGAAUUUUGUUAUUGAGGCUUGGAAGUGUUUAGGGGAUGAAAUAGCCUCUUGCUAUGAAGUUGAUGAGAAAAUGCUUUAUAAGGGAUGUGCAAGUGUAAUAUUAUACCUAUAUAUAGAAUGGCAUAAUAAUCAGGCUGUACAUAUCACUAUAGUACCAAAAUAAGGUGUUAUAGAAAUGAAAAUAGGGAGAUUUAUGGACCCACCCGCCAACAAAAAAGGGUAGAUUUUGAUUAGCAAAAUCAAAGACUUGGCAAAAUUAUUGGGAAUCAGAUUCAGUUCUUAGUACAAGAAUACUCCCUCUGUCCCACAAGAAAGUUCCCAUUCUAUUGUAUGCACCACGACAUGUAUAUUUGUUAACGUGUAAGCAGAAAUAUAUACAAAAACUUAAAAUAUAUUGGCUUUUGGUCAACGCGGCCUCGAGGUUACUCUAAAAGGCCUCCUAGUUGUGCAUCAUGAAACCCUAAUAUUACCAAAUGUUGUCCAAAUAUUUGUUAAGAUGAAGCUACAUGAUUCUGCAUUUUGCUCGUCUUUCAUACUCAUGUUCAAUGACUUCAAUCUGAUGUGCUGACAGGUAGAGAUUUGUCAGUCAAAUGAAAAGGGAAAAAACAUGAAUAGAAGUUCCCAAAAAUCUUUUGGCCUACAAACAUCCAAACUCAUGUUUGCUAUUCUCCUAUUCGACAAAAAAUAUAAGAUUACUUUUCAGACCUCAGAAAUUCUGCAGCAAAACUAGGAUGAAGAAAAUCAAAAAAUUAACAAAGAAUCUUAUUAUUUGAAAUAUUACAUUUUUCAGAGCAACAAUAGUGAUCCUGAAAUAAAACCUAAAAGAAAUAGUCCGACUUGUAUCAUUCAUUGCAAGUAAGAACCAAGACAACCUUUUUAUGUUGAAGUAUCAUUUGUACUUCUUUUGAACCCACAACAAAUACAACAUCUAUGAUUAUACGAUACCUUGGGAUUCUGCGAAUGGUAACAUUCUUUACAGGUACUUGGUCUUCGGGAUGGAUAGUUAACAAAUUCUUCGCCUAUAAGUUCAGUAUUAAAAAUAAUAUAUAAGAAACCUAAUACAUAAAACACCAUUACAUAUCACUCCAAAAAGAGGGGGCAUUAUUUGUUUAAAUGAUCAUAGGUAUAAUGGAACAGUUUUAGCUAACAUUCACCUAACAAACUUUAAUAUUCUCACAAACUCUCAUAACAAUAUGUAACAAGUCCUCCAGGCACAAACUUACUCAACUCAAUUCAUCCUAAUGGCUUUAUAUUAGAUUAACUGAGAGUCUGAGACCAAGCUGUUUUAAUCUUGGAAGCAUGUGAAUAGGAGAGAGAGAUGAGCUAACAUCGUUUUGGUCAAACAAUGAAGGCAAAAAUAAAAAUUGAAGAGCUUCUUUUUUUAUUUAUUUCCAAAGGUACAAGAAACAUAUUUUACAACGAUGUCAGAUGAGAUGUAUUUUUUUACAGAAAGGAAAUAAAUCAUUCUAAACUUUUCACCAAAGUGUAUGAGCAAGUACCAGAAUAAGUCCAAUAAUAUUUGUAGGUUGCUCAUAGUAGACUGGCACUCUGCUAUGCCCUUUUUCCAAAAUUAAAUUCAUCAAAUCCCUGUGUUAUAGCAAAUUGACGUAAAUAUAAUCUCACAAAAAGCUUAGUAAGGUUGCAGGUGUGACAUAUUUAAUUCUAAAGAGUUCAAAGGAUGCAUCACCUAUCAAGCUUGGCAUUAAUAUCAACUGCAAAAGUGUCAGAUAUGGGAGUCAUGGCAUCACUAGCUGUUUUCUCACUAAGUUCAAGUGCUCCGGCAAUGAUUGUCGUCUCAUCAUGAGUGAGUUCUCCACCUUUUCCUGCCUGCUCACAACUCACAAGUACUCAUAAACUCACAACGCUGCUGUAAUACGAAAUAAGCAGAAAACUCCAGACAGCAGGGUUGAAAUUCAACAGUAAAUUUGAACCAAAAAAUAUCAGGACAUUCUCAUACAAGGUUUUGAAGCUCCAAAAAUGGUAAUUGUGAAUAAACAGAUUCCUAAGUGAACCAACUUUCACAUCUAAAAGAGCAAAAAAGAAAAAAUAUUAUGC
rnacentral:lncRNA from 1 species